GAUGAACGCUGGCGGCGUGCCUAAUACAUGCAAGUCGAGCGAACGGACGAGAAGCUUGCUUCUCUGAUGUUAGCGGCGGACGGGUGAGUAACACGUGGAUAACCUACCUAUAAGACUGGGAUAACUUCGGGAAACCGGAGCUAAUACCGGAUAAUAUUUUGAACCGCAUGGUUCAAAAGUGAAAGACGGUCUUGCUGUCACUUAUAGAUGGAUCCGCGCUGCAUUAGCUAGUUGGUAAGGUAACGGCUUACCAAGGCAACGAUGCAUAGCCGACCUGAGAGGGUGAUCGGCCACACUGGAACUGAGCCACGGUCCAGACUCCUACGGGAGGCAGCAGUAGGGAAUCUUCCGCAAUGGGCGAAAGCCUGACGGAGCAACGCCGCGUGAGUGAUGAAGGUCUUCGGAUCGUAAAACUCUGUUAUUAGGGAAGAACAUAUGUGUAAGUAACUGUGCACAUCCUGACGGUACCUAAUCAGAAAGCCACGGCUAACUACGUG
rnacentral:rRNA from 1 species